CCGAGUUCAGACCGAAUAGGUCGAUCUCCCACCCGUGCCUAUCAUGCCCUUGUUGCUUCGGCAGGUCGUCUGCUCUAGCCACCGGCGCCUGCUGGUGAGUACCUGCCGGAGGCCCUACCACGCGAGAAAUGUAUUGUCGGAUAAUGCAAAACCCUUUA
rnacentral:misc_RNA from 1 species